CAAUAGCGUAUAUUAAAGUUGUUGCAGUUAAAAAGCUCGUAGUUGAAUUUUGGCGCUGUGUGUGUGGUUUGGGCUCGCGCUCAACACUGCAGAUGCGGUGCUUUCCUUCUAGGGAGCCAGUGUGCCAUUCGUUUGGUGGGCUGGGGAACUAGGACAGUUACUUUGAGAAAAUUAGAGUGUUUAAAACAGGCGUUUGCUUGAAUAUAUUAGCAUGGAAUAACGGAAUAGGACUUUGUCUUAUUUUGUUGGUUUAGGAGACAAAGUAAUGAUUAAUAGGGACGGUUGGGGGCAUUAGUAUUCCACAGUCAGAGGUGAAAUUCUUGGAUUUGUGGAAGACUAACUUCUGCGAAAGCAUUUGCCAGGCACGCUUUCAUUAA
rnacentral:rRNA from 1 species